rnacentral:rRNA from 1 species
GACGAACGCUGGCGGCGUGCUUAACACAUGCAAGUCGAGCGGUAAGGCCCUUCGGGUACGACGAGCGGCGAACGGUGAGUAACACGUGGGUGACCUGCCUUUAGCUCUGGGAUAAGCCUGGGAAACUGGGUCUAAUACCGGAUAUGACCUCAUGACGCAUGUUGUGGGGUGGAAAGCCUUGUGCGGCUAGAGAUGGGCCCGCGGCCUAUCAGCUUGUUGGUGGGGUGAUGGCCUACCAAGGCGACGAUCCGUAGCUGGUCUGAGAGGACGAUCAGCCACACUGGGACUGAGACACGGCCCAGACUCCUACGGGAGGCAGCGAGUGGGGAAGUCUUGCCCAAUGGGCGAAAGCCUGAGGCAGCGACGCCGCGUGAGGGAAGAAGGCCU